rnacentral:rRNA from 1 species
CCCUUAGAUGUUCUGGGCCGCACGCGCGCUACACUGAUGCAUUCAACGAGUCUAAAACCUGCUCUGAUAGGGGUGGGUAAUCUUUUGAAUGUGCAUCGUGAUUGGGAUAGAUGAUUGCAAUUUUUCAUCUUCAACGAGGAAUGCCUAGUAAACGCAAGUCAUCAGCUUGCAUUGAUUACGUCCCUGCCCUUUGUACAAACCGCCCGUCGCUCCUACCGAUUGAAUGAUCCGAUGAAUAUCAUGGAUUGAGGAUGCAAGCAGGUUCGCCUGUCUUCAUCUUCGAGAAGUGAAGUAAAUCUUAUCAUUUAGAGGAAGGAGAAGUCGUAACA